rnacentral:rRNA from 1 species
UACGGGGGGAGCAAGCGUUGUUCGGAUUUACUGGGCGUAAAGGGCGCGUAGGCGGCCACCGCAAGUCGACUGUGAAAUCUCCGGGCUUAACCCGGAAAGGUCAGCCGAUACUGCAGGGCUAGAGUGCAGAAGGGGCAACUGGAAUUCUCGGUGUAGCGGUGAAAUGCGUAGAUAUCGAGAGGAACACCUGCGGCGAAGGCGGGUUGCUGGGCUGACACUGACGCUGAGGCGCGAAAGCUAGGGGAGCGAAUGGG